AUUGAACGCUAGCGGCAUGCCUUACACAUGCAAGUCGAACGGCAGCGGGGGAGCUUGCUCCCGCCGGCGAGUGGCGAACGGGUGAGUAAUACAUCGGAACGUACCCAGUAGCGGGGGAUAGCCCGGCGAAAGCCGGAUUAAUACCGCAUACGCCCUACGGGGGACAGGGGGGGAUCGCAAGACCUCUCACUAUUGGAGCGGCCGAUGGCUGAUUAGCUAGUUGGUGGGGUAAAGGCCUACCAAGGCGACGAUCAGUAGCUGGUCUGAGAGGACGACCAGCCACACUGGGACUGAGACACGGCCCAGACUCCUACGGGAGGCAGCAGUGGGGAAUUUUGGACAAUGGGCGAAAGCCUGAUCCAGCAAUGCCGCGUGUGCGAAGAAGGCCUUCGGGUUGUAAAGCACUUUUGUCAGGGAAGAAAUCGUUUGGGUUAAUACCCCGAGCAGUUGACGGUACCUGAAGAAUAAGCACCGGCUAACUACGUGCCAGCCGCCGCCGUAA
rnacentral:rRNA from 1 species